rnacentral:rRNA from 1 species
AAUUCGCCCUUGCAAGUCUGGUGCCAGCAGCCGCGGUAAUUCCAGCUCCAAUAGCGUAUAUUAAAGUUGUUGCAGUUAAAAAGCUCGUAGUUGAAACUUGGGCCUGGCUGGCAGGUCCGCCUCACCGCGUGUACUUGUCCGGCCGGGCCUUUCCUUCUGGAGAACCUCAUGCCCUUCACUGGGUGUGUUGGGGAACCAGGACUUUUACUUUGAAAAAAUUAGAGUGUUCAAAGCAGGCCUUUGCUCGAAUACGUUAGCAUGGAAUAAUAGAAUAGGACGUGCGGUCCUAUUUUGUUGGUUUCUAGGACCGCCGUAAUGAUUAAUAGGGACAGUCGGGGGCAUCAGUAUUCAAUUGUCAGAGGUGAAAUUCUUGGAUUUAUUGAAGACUAACUACUGCGAAAGCAUUUGCCAAGGAUGUUUUCAUUAAUCAGUGAACGAAAGUUAGGGGAUCGAAGACGAUCAGAUACCGUCGUAGUCUUAACCGUAAACUAUGCCGACUAGGGAUCGGGCGAUGUUCUUUUUCUGACUCGCUCGGCACCUUACGAGAAAUCAAAGUUUUUGGGUUCUGGGGGGAGUAUGGUCGCAAGGCUGAAACUUUAAAGAAAUUGACGGAAGGGCACCACCAGGCGUGGAGCCUGCGGCUUAAUUUGACUCAACACGGGGAAACUCACCAGGUCCAGAUGAAAUAAGGAUUGACAGAUUGAGAGCUCUUUCUUGAUUUUUCAGGUGGUGGUGCAUGGCCGUUCUUAGUUGGUGGAGUGAUUUGUCUGCUUAAUUGCGAUAACGAACGAGACCUUAACCUGCUAAAUAGCCAGGCUAGCUUUGGCUGGUCGCCGGCUUCUUAGAGGGACUAUCGGCUCAAGCCGAUGGAAGUUUGAGGCAAUAACAGGUCUGUGAUGCCCUUAGAUGUUCUGGGCCGCACGCGCGCUACACUGACAGAGCCAACGAGUUCUUCACCUUGGCCGGAAGGUCUGGGUAAUCUUGUUAAACUCUGUCGUGCUGGGGAUAGAGCAUUGCAAUUAUGCUCUUCAACGAGGAAUGCCUAGUAAGCGCAUGUCAUCAGCAUGCGUUGAUUACGUCCCUGCCCUUUGUACACACCGCCCGUCGCUACUACCGAUUGAGUGGCUCAGUGAGGCCUUCGGACUGGCUUGGAGAGGUUGGCAACGACCACUCUGAGCCGGAAAGUUCGUCAAACUCGGUCAUUUAGAGGAAGUAAAAGUCGUAACAAGGUUUCCGUAGGGAACCUGCGAAAGGCGAAUCGUAACGC